rnacentral:rRNA from 1 species
UACGUAGGGUGCAAGCGUUUAAUCGGAAUUACUGGGCGUAAAGCGUGCGCAGGCGGUUAUGUAAGACAGGUGUGAAAUCCCCGGGCUUAACCUGGGAACUGCAUUUGUGACUGCAUAGCUAGAGUACGGGUAGAGGGGGAUGGAAUUCCGCGUGUAGCAGUGAAAUGCGUAGAUAUGACGGAGGAACACCGAUGGCGAAGGCAAUCCCCUGGACCUGUACUG